UGUAAGCGUAUACCAAAGUUGUUGCAGUUAAAACGCUCGUGGUUGGACCUUGGACCUGGACAGGCGGUCCGCCUCACGGCGAGUACUGUCUUGCUGGGUCUUUCCUCUUGGUGAUCUGUUGUUUCGGCAGCAGGGAACCAGGACCUUUACUUUGAAAAAAUUAGAGUGUUCAAAGCAGGCUCGACGCCGGAAUAUAUUAGCAUGGAAUAAUAAAAUAGGACGUGCGGUUCUAUUUUGUUGGUUUUUGGAAUCGCCGUAAUGAUUAAUAGGGACAGUCGGGGGCAUUAGUACUCACAUGCUAGAGGUGAAAUUCUUGGAUUUUGUGAAGACUAACUUCUGCGAAAGCAUUUGCCAAGGAUGUUUUCAUUAA
rnacentral:rRNA from 1 species